rnacentral:snRNA from 1 species
AAGCUAGUUGAUCCGAUGACC